rnacentral:rRNA from 1 species
AUACGGGGGGUGCAAGCGUUAUUCGGAUUUAUUGGGCGUAAAGAGCGCGUAGGCGGCUUGGUAAGUCAGAUGUGAAAGCCCGGGGCUCAACCCCGGAAGUGCAUUUGAAACUAUCAGCUUGAGUAUGGGAGAGGGAAGUGGAAUUCCUGGUGUAGAGGUGAAACUCGUAGAUAUCAAGAGGAACACCGGUGGCGAAGGCGACUUCCUGGACCAAUACUGACGCUGAGGCGCGAAGGCGUGGGGAGCAAACAGGAUUAGAAACCCUAGUAGUCC